UAUAUUCAGAGUUUGAUCCUAGCUCAGGGUGAACGCUGGCGGCGUGGAUGAGGCAUGCAAGUCGAGCGCCCCCAAUCUAGAAAUAGGUAGGGGGAGCGGCAGACGAGGUAGUAAUACGCAGGUACGCACCGAGAAGUCGGGCAUAGCUACUCGAAAGAGUAGGUAAUUCCCGAUAGUCCCUCCGGGGUAAAGGAGCAAUCCGCUUUUUGAGCGGCCUGUGUCGCAUCAGCUUGUUGGUAGGGUAACGGCCUACCAAGGCUAUGACGCGUAGGGGAGCUGAGAGGCUGACCCCCACCGAUGGAACUGAGACACGGUCCAUACACCUACGGGUGGCUGCAGCCGAGAAUAUUCCGCAAUGGACGAAAGUCUGACGGAGCGACGCCGCGUGAUGGAUGAAGUCCUUAGGGACGUAAACAUCUUUUAUGCGUGAAGAAGUUAUUGACAUUAGCGCAUGAAUAAGGGGCUCCUAACUCUGUGCCAGCAGGAGCGGUAAUACAGAGGCCCCAAGCGUUACCCGGAAUCACUGGGCGUAAAGGGUGUGUAGGCGGCGCUGUUAGUCUUUCGUGAAAGCUUUCGGGCUUAACCCGGAAAACGCGGAGGAAACGGCAGUGCUCGAGGAUGUGAGAGGUAGAGGGAACUCAUGGUGUAGGGGUGAAAUCCGUUGAUAUCAUGGGGAACACCAAAUGCGAAGGCACUCUACUGGCACAUUUCUGACGCUGAGACACGAAAGCGUGGGUAGCGAACGGGAUUAGAUACCCCGGUAGUCCACGCCCUAAACGAUCACAACUGGCUUUAAGGAGUAUCGACCCUCUUUGAGGCGAAGCUAACGCGUUAAGUGAUGCGCCUGGGUAGUACGAUCGCAAGAUUAAAACUCAAAGGAAUAGACGGGGACUUGCACAAGCGGUGGAUCAUGCGGCUC
rnacentral:rRNA from 1 species